UUUAUUAUCUGAUAAAAUAUUUUUUUCUUUCACAAUCAAUAUUUUUCUUCUACUAAUAAAUAAGUGAGAUUUCGCACAACUUACUAGACGUAGUCACUGAGACAAAGUCAACAUAAGUUUAUUAAACUAGACUGUACCAUCAUUUUGGAACCAAGUCGAGAAACUAUAGAAAAUUUCUUCACAUUUUGAUAGAGUCUGGAUCUUUCAUAAUUACCACGUAAAUGAGGUUAGAUCUUCAACAUAGAUAUAAGAGGCUUCUUAGCCGGACAUAGUCACGACUGCAAGAAGGAAGAAAUUGUAUUAAAAGCACAACAAAAGAAGAAAGAAUAAACACCUUAAAAUGGACAAAGUGCAAGGCUUGAAUCGUAUUCAAACUGCAAGCUACGACUAAUGCCUUUUUAUUUAUUUGCUAAGUAUAUUACAGGAGAGAAGAGAGAGCUAAAGAGAAAAAUGAAAGAAAGAAA
rnacentral:lncRNA from 1 species